rnacentral:tRNA from 2 species
GCCCGCGUAGCUCAGUCGGUAGAGCACGUUCUUGGUAAGAACGGGGUCAUCGGUUCAAGUCCGAUCGUGGGCU